rnacentral:rRNA from 1 species
AGCAGCCGCGGUAAUUCCAGCUCCAAUAGCGUAUAUUAAAGUUGUUGCAGUUAAAAAGCUCGUAGUUGAAUUUCGGGGUCAGUAGGCUGGUCGUGCCACAGGUACGUACUGGUCUCACUGAUUCCUCCUUCCUGAUGAACCGUAAUGCCAUUAACUUGGUGUUGCGGGGAAACUGGACUGUUACUUUGAAAAAAUUAGAGUGUUUAAAGCAGGCUAACGCCUGAAUACAUUAGCAUGGAAUAAUGAAAUAGGACGUCCGAUCCUAUUUUGUUGGUUUCUAGGAUUGACGUAAUGAUUAAUAGGGAUAGUUGGGGGCAUUAGUAUUCAAUUGUCAGAGGUGAAAUUCUUGGAUUUAUUGAAGACUAACUACUGCGAAAGCAUUUGCCAAGGAUGUUUUCAUUAAUCAAGAACGAAAGUUAGGGGAUCGAAGACGAUCAGAUACCGUCGUAGUCUUAACCAUAAACUAUGCCAACUAGGAAUCGGAUGAUGUAAUUUUUAAUGACUCAUUCGGCGCCUUACG